CCUGCAACUUUUGUUCUAGUUGGAGUGGACGAACCGCCGCCAUCUUGGGACCCGGUCAGCACACCUGAUUUUGAUAUGCCUCCAAAAGGAAAUGGCGCUCCAAAAGGAAAUGGUGCUCCAAAAAGACAUGGCUCACCACUCUAUCCGGCAGGAUCUCCAAAGUACAAUUUGAGUAAGGCGAAAAAACUAUGUCCAAAAGCUGAUAAGCGAAGGGCGUCAUGGAAUCGUGGACUUGAGAAGGCUCUUGUGGAGCUACUCCAAGAGCACAACAAUCCAUACCAUAGAGGCCAGAACGGGUGGAGCAGCGAAACAUGGAAUAUGAUGGUUAAAUGCUUCAACUCCCGGC